CUUCGAAAGGGGGACUCAAACAUCAUGGAAAUGCAGGAACAGAUGGUUACGAUGAUCAUGACCCAGUCCAGCUCCUGUGACGGGAUCGGUUUUGGAUCUGUAAGAGACAGCAAACACAGCAUUCUGCAACAUAGCAAGCGUGUUCUCACUUGGCAGCGUGGCCGAACACCUGGAUGAAAUGGAGUGUACUUACGCAUUGAAGCGUGCCCGGACCACCACCCGGC